rnacentral:rRNA from 1 species
UCCAGACUCCUACGGGAGGCAGCAGUGGGGGAUAUUGCACAAUGGGGGAAACCCUGAUGCAGCGACGCCGCGUGAGUGAAGAAGUAUUUCGGUAUGUAAAGCUCUAUCAGCAGGGAAGAAAGAAGACGGUACCUGACUAAGAAGCCCCGGCUAACUACGUGCCAGCAGCCGCGGUAAUACGUAGGGGGCAAGCGUUAUCCGGAUUUACUGGGUGUAAAGGGAGCGUAGACGGCAAUACAAGUCGGAAGUGAAAUACCCGGGCUCAACCUGGGAACUGCUUUGGAAACUGUAUGGCUGGAGUGCUGGAGAGGUAAGCGGAAUUCCUAGUGUAGCGGUGAAAUGCGUAGAUAUUAGGAGGAACACCAGUGGCGAAGGCGGCUUACUGGACUGUAACUGACGUUGAGGCUCGAAAGCGUGGGGAGCAAACAGGAUUAGAUACCCUCGUA